rnacentral:rRNA from 1 species
UACGUAGGGCGCAAGCGUUGUCCGGAAUUACUGGGCGUAAAGGGCGCGUAGGCGGUACUUCAAGUCAGGCGUGAAAGCCCCGGGCUCAACCUGGGAACCGCGCUUGAGACUGGAGAACUAGAGUUCGGGAGAGGAUGGUGGAAUUCCCAGUGUAGCGGUGAAAUGCGCAGAUAUCAGGAAGAACACCUAUGGCGAAGGCAGCUCUCUGGGACGGUACUGACGCUGAGACGCGAAAGCGUGGGGAGCAAACAGG